rnacentral:rRNA from 1 species
UCCGUAGGGACCAAGCGUUGUCCGGAAUCAUUGGGCGUAAAGAGCGUGUAGGCGGCUUGUUAAGUCUUGCGUGAAAUCUCGGGGCUCAACCCCGAGCGGUCGUGAGAAACUGGCAGGCUAGAGUGCGGGAGAGGAGAGUGGAAUUCCUGGUGUAGCGGUGAAAUGCGCAGAUAUCAGGAAGAACACCCGUGGCGAAGGCGGCUCUCUGGAACGCAACUGACGCUGAGACGCGAAAGCGUGGGGAGCAAACAGG